AAAUCAAACAGAUGGCGAAUCCAAUCUGCAGUUACAGAUAUACAUAUGUUAUACAGAUACAGGUACAUAUAUAAUAACCUAAGUUACAUGUAUCCUACAAUUUUACCAGCACUUAGUUUAGACCCUAAUAUUAGCAGCUUAGCAGUAGAGAGGCGCAUACUAAAAUGAAUAGCUCCAUCAAGACAGAUCUGGUAGACUUAUCUAACAAUAUUGUUGUGGCAUAUAAUAUGCUCCAAGAAGUUCUUUUCAUCCAUGAUUCAUGUACUGUAUAUAUAUAUACACACCAGAUGCUGUGUGGGAAAGACGAUCCUCCAGAGGAAUAUACGUUGUAAUGUUCCGUGUCUAUAGUAAAAUAAAUGAGAACCUUCCUGGGCAGACGAAGCUUAAGGAAAAUAAUAAAUGUUCAAGCCAAAUCGGAGAAGCUCAAGAAAAAGACGGAUCUGAGGAAUGUGAGUGCUUUCCAUUAAUAGAUGUUAUAUUCUUACUCAAAUAACUGUGUGAUACCCCAUAAUAGAAUACCGGUUUACCUAUACUAAUUAAACCACUUUCUAACUUACAGAAUUGAUCAUCACGAAGUAGAGGUCUUGGUAAAGGUUUGGUGAAGUGAGGAUUUAGGAGAAUCUUAUAAAGUUAAAAAUCAUCAAGAAGUCUCGGGAGAACAUUAGCCGGUGACAGUAUUAGAAAUGAAGCAUAACAUACUAGAAAAUCUAAGAAGGGAAGUAUUUUAUCAGAACCUGAGGGGGAAAAAGUUUCAGUCUAUUAGUGAAUCACGUUACACACUUUAGAAUUUCUGUAUGCCCUACCUCCAUCUAUAAUCUCUUGUUUAGAUAUUAGUUAGUAGUGCAUGAGUAUUCUUGUCUUGCUGGACACAAUUGAGUUAUGACAAGGAUUAGAGCCGGUAAGGAGAUCCUGUGAGUCGGAAGGAGGUUAAGGGGAACCUUCAGCAUCAGUAAAUUAAUAGUUAAAUAGUCACUAAUAGGCAAUUUCUGAGCAUUACAUACAUGUGUUUUUUGAAUAUGCAAGCCCAGUGGAUACUCAUCGUCUUUAAUAACCCAAGGUCAAAUUUCUUGUAAUUAACCCUUCCUAAUAAAGAAAAAGAAAAUUUGCUUA